AUUGAACGCUGGCGGCAGGCCUAACACAUGCAAGUCCUGCGGAGCGGCGUACGCGUGAGUAAUUCCUAGGAAUCUGCCUGGUAGUGGGGGAUCACGUCCGGAAACGGGCGCUAGUACCGCAUACUCUCAGAUGAGCCUAGGUCGGAUUAGCUAGUUGGUGGGGUAAAGGCCUGCCACGCCGACGAUCCGUCACUGGUCUGCGAGGCUGAUCAGUCACACUGGAACUGAGACACGGUCCAGACUCCUACGGGAGGCAGCAGGGGGGAAUAUUGGACAAGGGGCGAAAGCCUGCUCCAGGCAUGCCGCGUGUGUGAAGAAGGUCUUCGGAGUGUAAAGCACGUUAAGUUGGGAGGCGUUACCAACAGAAUAAGCACCGGCUAACUUCGUGCCAGCAGCCGCGGUAAUAC
rnacentral:rRNA from 1 species